rnacentral:rRNA from 1 species
CCUACGGGAGACAGCAGUGGGGAAUAUUGCACAAUGGGGGAAACCCUGAUGCAGCGACGCCGCGUGAGGGAAGAAGUAUUUCGGUAUGUAAAGCCCUAUCAGCAGGGAAGAAAAUGACGGUACUUGCUUAUGAAGCCCCGGCUACCUCCGUGACAGCAGCCGCGGUAAUACGGAGGGGGCAAGCGUUAUCCGGAUUUACUGGGUGGAAAGAGAGCGUAGACGGUGAUGCAAGUCAGAGGUGAAAUCCCGGGGCUCAACUCCGGGACUGCAUUUGAAAUUGUGUGACUAGAGUGGAGGAGGGGUAGGCGGAAUUCCUGGUGUAGCGGUAAAAUGCGUAGAUAUCACGAGGAACACCGAUGGCGAAGGCAGCUUACUGGACUGUAACUGACAUUGAGGCUCGAAAGCGUGGGUAGCAAACAGGAUUAGAUACCCCUGUAGUC